UGGGGAAUAUUGCGCAAUGGGGGCAACCCUGACGCAGCGACGCCGCGUGAGUGACGAAGUCUUUCGGGAUGUAAAGCUCUGUCGAGAGGGACGAUAAUGACGGUACCUCGAGAGGAAGCCCUGGCUAACUACGUGCCAGCAGCCGCGGUAAUACGUAAAGGGCGAGCGUUAUCCGGAUUUAUUGGGCAUAAAGGGCGCGUAGGCGGUAUUUUAAGUCAGAUGUUAAAACCUUCAGCUUAACUGAAGUUCGCAUUUGAUACUGGGAUACUAGAGAUCAAGAGAGGAAAGCGGAACUCAUGGUGUAGCGGUGAAAUGCGUAGAUAUCAUGAGGAGCACCAGUUGCGAAGGCGGCUUUCUGGCUUGAAUCUGACGCUGAGGCGCGAAAGCGUGGGGAGCAAACAGG
rnacentral:rRNA from 1 species